rnacentral:rRNA from 1 species
GUUUCUUCGGAAAUGGAUUAGCGGCGAACGGGUGAGGAACACGUGAAGAAUCUGCCCUCCACUUUGGGAUAACACCGGGAAACCGGUGCUAAUACCGAAUAUUGAAACAUAAGUGGCAUCACUGAGUUUUUAAAGAAUUUCGGUGGAGGAUGACUUCGCGGCCUAUCAGCUAGUUGGUGAGGUAAUGGCUCACCAAGGCAACGACGGGUAGCCGGCCUGAGAGGGCGACCGGCCACACUGGGACUGAGACACGGCCCAGACUCCUACGGGAGGCAGCAGUGGGGAAUAUUGGGCAAUGGAGGAAACUCUGACCCAGCGACGCCGCGUGCGGGAUGAAGGCCUUCGGGUUGUAAACCGCUUUCAGUAGGGAAGAAGCGAAAGUGACGGUACCUACAAAAGAAGCACCGGCUAACUAUGUGCCAGCAGCCGCGGUAAUACAUAGGGUGCAAGCGUUGUCCGGAAUUAUUGGGCGUAAAGAGCUCGU